rnacentral:rRNA from 1 species
GAUGAACGCUGGCGGCGUGCCUAACACAUGCAAGUCGAGCGAUUUACUUCGGUAAAGAGCGGCGGACGGGUGAGUAACGCGUGGGUAACCUGCCCUGUACACACGGAUAACAUACUGAAAGGUAUGCUAAUACGGGAUAACAUAAGAGAGUCGCAUGGCUUUCUUAUCAAAGCUUUUGCGGUACAGGAUGGACCCGCGUCUGAUUAGCUAGUUGGUAAGGUAACGGCUUACCAAGGCGACGAUCAGUAGCCGACCUGAGGGGGUGAUCGGCCACAUUGGAACUGAGACACGGUCCAAACUCCUACGGGAGGCAGCAGUGGGGAAUAUUGCACAAUGGGCGAAAGCCUGAUGCAGCAACGCCGCGUGAGCGAUGAAGGCCUUCGGGUCGUAAAGCUCUGUCCUCAAGGAAGAUAAUGACGGUACUUGAGGAGGAAGCCCCGGCUAACUACGUGCCAGCAGCCGCCGUAA